rnacentral:lncRNA from 1 species
UCGAUCUUCUCUCAGGAAAUAGAAAAAGCAGAGCAGAUGAGAGGGGAAGGGGAGGCGCGACUGGUGUGGGCGAGCAAGCACGGCCAGGGGGGGCCGAUGUGGGCGCGCAGGCGGGGCUGAGUGAGGCCAGCACGGGUGGGUGUGGCGGAGAGGGCCGAAGCGGGCACGGGCGAGCGGGCGGCGCGGCUGGAGGGCCAGGGCGGGCGAGCGUGGGCACGUCAAGGCCACCCUCUCUCUGAAUCCACAGGAGCACGUCCACUAGGUCCUCCUCAUGCACGCUGCCCAUGGCUGCCCUCCCCUCCUCAUGUCUGAUGGUCACCGUGGUUUCUUCCCAAUGCUAAUUCAUUGUUUCUUCAUGCCUUGGAGUGAGGAAAGACGUGGUUUCUCUUCAAAGAAAUGAUUUCUUCCAUUUUUUUUCUUUUUUCUCAUCAGUUAGGCUGACAAUACUUUGCUUAUAUGAUAUUUUAUUUAAUUGAGAUAGAAACCACCGUUAAUGUCCUAUUGAGACUGCCCGUGUAGUACUCCACGCACCAAGUAAGCAUGCCUGAGAAAUUGGCGAAAAUCUUGCCAUGCAAGUGAUCGAGUUCGGAGUUGGCAUCAAUCCACUAAUAAUCUCCGAUCCCUUGGCAAUGAAUUAAUAAGAGCGAAGCAUGCUUAAUGGACGACGGCGAGCGAGACAGAGAAGUAUAACUUGCAUCGCAUGAAACUGAUCAGCUGGUAGAGACUGGAGACGACGGCUGGGCCAACUUGCGCCCGUGGAAAACAUACGCAACAAGACACCUGAUUACAUUAUUGUACAAGAUUCAAGACUCAAGACUCUGACAUGUAAUCAUCCGUGUUCGAUAUCGAUAUAUAUAAUCAUCCGUGUUCGGUAUCGAUAUAUACAUUACCUCACUUACAAGAUUCAAGACUCUGACAUGGCAACGUUAUAUAUCUAAGUAGAGACCAGUAACCACAAAUUUUAAUAAUGGAAAGAAGUAUCCAGCUUCAUCCCUAUUAAAGAGGAAUCACCAAAUUAUUACAGCC